UUGGGACUCCAUCUCUCCUGAUAAACAGGAAGCCAGUGGAAAAAUGGGAGGAAGUGUAACACUCCGAUGCUGCUAUGAUACAGCCGUGUCACAACGUUAUUAAUCCAAAGGGGACCAGGUAACCAAGUAACAAAUGUAAUAGCAUGUGUUCACCUAAAGAGGGAGUCACUACAAUGGAAAACAACCUACAAGUGGUGCUGGGGUUUGGUUCUCCUUUAAAUAAAUUAAAUCUCAACAAUGCACAUAGCAAGACCCCUAUCCAAUGAGCUGACAUCCUUUGGUGGUGGCUUCAUAAACGCUAGCAAAGUAAAGGAAAAUCAAAAUGAGUUUACCCAUAGCCAAACUCAGCUUUUGCUGUGAUGCCCCCUAUUGGUCAUGAAUGGUAACAGGUCUGCUGGGUAUUGGAGAGCCUUGGAGAGAUGAGAUGAUGGGAGGAGCCAGCCACAAAAGGACUGUUGAGUAAAAUGUGUUUAUGUUUCUCUCUCCUGCUUUACUGGAACUCGCUCUGCUCUCCACUGCCUCACUCCAUCAUGCACUUUGCACUCGUGAUAUGUUUCAUUUUAUGUGGUCCAAGUGUUGAAGACAGUAUCAGUCAGCAGAAGGAUGUCCAACGUGCUGUUGAGGGUGCUGCUGUGGUGCUCUCAUGCAGCUACAACAGCUCUGUAGUCAGUAGUCUCUGGUACCGCCAGUACCCCGGCUCAC